ACAUUGAUUUGUCUUUUAAUAUAUUGAUUGGAGGUCACUUACCAAGAAACUUAGGAAAGCUUUGCAACUUGCGAACUCUCAAACUAUCUUUCAACAGUAUUAGUGGAGAGAUAACUGAAUUGAUAGAUGGGUUGUCCGAGUGUGUCAACAGUAGUAGCUUAGAGUCUCUGGAUUUGGGGUUCAAUUAUAAACUGGAUGGGUUUCUUCCUAAUUCUUUGGGACACCUGAAGAACCUAAAGUCUCUUCAUCUGUGGGGCAACUCAUUUGUGGGGUCAAUUCCAAACACCAUUGGAAAUUUGUCGUCCUUGCAAGAAUUCUACAUCUCUGAAAAUCAAAUGAAUGGGAUAAUUCCAGAGAGUGUGGGCCAACUCUCAGCAUUGGUUGCAGCGGAUCUGUCAGAGAAUCCAUGGGUUUGUGUUGUGACAGAGUCUCAUUUCUCCAAUCUCACAAGCUUAAUUGAGUUGUCAAUCAAGAAGUCAUCUCCAAACAUCACCUUGGUCUUCAAUGUGAAUUCUAAAUGGAUUCCUCCUUUUAAACUCAGUUACCUGGAACUCCAAGCAUGCCAUCUAGGUCCCAAAUUUCCUGCAUGGCUGAGAACCCAAAACCAGCUGAAGACAGUAGUGCUCAACAAUGCUAGGAUUUCAGACUCCAUACCUGAUUGGUUUUGGAAGUUAGACUUGCAGCUCGAGCUACUGGACUUUUCAAAUAAUCAACUGAGCGGGAAGGUCCCAAAUUCAUUGAAAUUUACAGAAAAUGCUGUUGUGGAUUUGAGCUCCAACCGCUUUCACGGUCCUUUCCCACACUUUUCUUCUAAUCUGAGUUCAUUGUAUUUGAGAGACAAUUCAUUUUCUGGACCAAUACCCCGGGAUUUUGGCAAAACCAUGCCCCGGUUGUCAAAUUUUGACGUCUCUUGGAACUCUCUAAAUGGUACCAUUCCCUUGUCUAUGGCUAAGAUUACGGGUUUGACAAAUCUGGUUAUCUCAAAUAAUCAGUUGUCUGGUGAAAUUCCUUUGAUUUGGAAUGAUAAACCAGAUUUGUACGAAGUAGAUAUGGCAAAUAACAGCUUAUCUGGUGAGAUCCCCAGCUCAAUGGGCACCCUGAAUUCACUUAUGUUCUUGAUACUGAGUGGCAACAAACUUUCAGGGGAAAUUCCUUUUUCUCUGCAGAAUUGCAAGGACAUGGAUAGUUUUGACCUUGGCGACAAUAGAUUAUCAGGAAACCUUCCAACAUGGAUAGGAGAGAUGCAAUCGUUGUUGAUUCUACGUCUGCGAUCAAACUUCUUUGAUGGAAACAUUCCCUCCCAAGUGUGCAAUCUUUCCCAUCUUCAUAUAUUGGACCUUGCACAUAAUAAUCUGUCAGGAUCCGUUCCUUCUUGUUUGGGAAAUUUGAGUGGCAUGGCUACUGAAAUCAGCGAUGAGAGAUACGAGGGGCGAUUGUCAGUUGUGGUGAAAGGAAGAGAACUCAUAUAUCAGAGUACUCUGUAUCUUGUGAAUAGCAUUGAUCUUUCAGACAAUAAUUUAUCGGGAAAGUUGCCUGAAAUAAGAAAUCUUUCAAGACUUGGCACCUUGAACUUGUCCAUAAAUCAUUUUACAGGAAAUAUACCAGAGGACAUUGGGGGCUUAAGUCAAUUAGAAACUCUGGACCUCUCAAGAAACCAGCUCUCUGGCCCGAUUCCACCAAGCAUGACUUCUCUGACUUCCUUGAAUCACUUGAACCUAUCUUACAACAGUCUAUCUGGUAAAAUUCCAACAAGCAACCAGUUCCAAACCUUCAAUGACCCAUCCAUAUACAGGAAUAACCUUGCACUCUGCGGGGAUCCUCUGCCAAUGAAGUGCCCAGGCGAUGAUAAAGCCACUACUGAUUCUUCCAGGGCGGGUAAUGAAGAUCAUGAUGAUGAGUUUGAAAUGAGGUGGUUCUACGUCAGCAUGGGGCCUGGAUUUGUGGUGGGAUUUUGGGCAGUUUUUGGCCCUUUGAUAAUAAAUAGGUCUUGGAGGCGAGCCUACUUCCGGUUCCUGGAUGAGAUGAAAGAUAGAGUGAUGGUGGUUAUCACAGUGAAUGUUGCACGUCUGCAAAAGAAAUGCAAAUGGGAAAGAAGACAACAUGGAACUUGAACAGGUAUCCAUCCACAAGCUUUCAAACCAAAAUAACUGUUUCCAUAUAUCAUUGAUUUGCUUCAUGCUUAACCCUGAUCAUAUCAUACUUAAUUUGAUGGAGUACUCUGUAUUUGUUUUUCAGGUGGUGAGCUACUAAAUCUGAUUUGUCGGACUGAAGUUUCACCUGUCAUCUGUUGGGGGAUUGUCAGUUUUUUUUUUUUUUUUUUUUUUCUAAGGUUUGAAAUACGAGUUUUUAUGUAAACUCUCUAUUUAUAGCACUGUUACUCUAUUCUAAACUACCUCCAAGGUUUCUUGAAGCCCUAUAGAUAUAAAACAUAACCCUAAUAAAAUCUAUUAAGUUUGAAACAUAUUGUACAUGGUUUUACCUCAUCUGAAUAUACACUCUUAAAGUGUCUAAUAUCGGUUGGCACCUACAUCAUCCUUUAUGUCCUCCGACAUAUCAUCAUGCGCUCAUCAGGGAAUACCUCAAUUCAUGUUAAGGCUAACAGAUCACUUGAUCAUUUAUCCCAUCAACCCAUAGACGACGAAGCAUCUUGCCAUUUUAGCCCUGCACCUCUCAUGUAAAACUCUUUUUUAUUUUCGUUUUUGCAUUAAAUAAAUGGAUGGAUGGGUAAAUAUUUGAAAAAUAUUUUAAAAUAAAAAAUAAUAAGAUUAACUCAUGGUUAAAAUCCCAUUUCAAAUUAGAUGACUUAUAUAACAUUUUCCUGUUCGGUUGCCAUCUACUAUGUUUUAGGUUAUGUUUGGUUCCAGAAAAUGUGAAUAAAAAUGUAAGGGAAAUAAAAUAAAGAAUAAAAUAUAAGGAAAAGAGAAAGUGAAGGUAAAUAAAAAAAAAGAUUUAAAGUCAAUAAAUGUCAUUUCAGACUCAUUUCACUUGUAUUAACUCUUCUAUAUAAAAAGUAAAUAAUUUAAAAAUAUAUAAAUGUCUAAUUGUUGUAAAACAAAGACAAAUACAAUGCAAAUCAAAGUAGUAGAGAUGAAAUAUAUCUUACUUUGAUUUAUAAUAGGGAAGAAGAAAUCAGAGAAGAGAGUUGAAAAAGUUGAGAGAAUGAAAAACAGAGAGAAUGAGAGGAAGAUAAUUUCUUUCUUUUCUCGGGAUGUAUAUUACAGAAGACGGGAAGCCCUUUUAUAGGCUUUCCAAAUGGCUUCCAUUAAUAUCCCCAUUAAUGAAUAUUAAUGAAACUCAUAAAUAACAUUAAUGGUUUCCAUUAAUGAGUAUUAAUGGAAGUCAUGAAUAAUACUUAAUUAACAUUAAUGUGGUGGCAUUUAUUACUACAAUUAUAACACUCCCUCUUAGAUGUCCACCACAUUGAAAGAAUAUGCCUCAUUAAAAUCUCAUUAGUAAAAAACCCUAUAGGAAAAACCUAGCGAAGGAAAAAGAGUACAAUAUUCUUUUCUUGGUAUAUUAGGACUGCCUCGUUAAAAACCUUGCCAGUAAAACCCAGUAGGACAAAACCUGGACGAAGGAAAAAAAAGUACAGUACACUAACACCCUUUUACAAGGAUACUCCCCCUCAUGUCGAUAUCCUUGAGUUGACACAUUCCAAUCCUGUGUAUUAACUUAUUGAAUGUUAAGGUUGGCAAUGAUUUUGUGAAUAAAUCUGCUAGAUUAUCACUUGAGCGUAUUUGUUGCACAUCAAUUUCACUACUCUUCUGGAGUUCAUGUGUAUAAAAGAAUUUUGGUGAAAUGUGUUUAGUUCUAUCUCCUUUGAUAUAAACCCCCUGUUAUUUGUGCAAUGCAUGCAGCAUUAUCUUCAAAUAAUAUUGUCGGGUCACCUUUGAUAGAGGAGAGUCCACAUGAUUCCCGAAUAUGCUGGAUCAUAGAUCUUAGCCAUAUACAUUCACGACUUGCUUCAUGAAUUGCCAGUAUUUCUAAAUGAUUUGAUGAUGUGGCCACCAUUGUUUGUUUGACAAAUCUCCAUGAAAUAGUAGUACCAUUGCAAUUAAACACAUACCCUAUUUGUGACCUACCUUUAUGUGGAUUUGAAAGAUAUCCUGCAUCUGCAUAUCCAAGCAAUUGUUGCUUUGAUUCCCUUGAGUAAAAUAAACUCAUAUUAGUAGUUCCACGAAGAUAACGCAAUAUAUGUUUGAUACCAUUCCAAUGUCUUCGAGUUUGAGCGAAACUGUAUCUUGCUAAUAAAUUGACAGAAAAAGCAAUGUAUGGACGUGUACAAUUGGCAAGAUACAUAAGUGCACCAUUAGCACUAAGAUAUGGUACUUCAGGACCAAGUAACUCUUCAUUUGUUUUUGGCAAGAACGACAUGGGUCUUUUUUCACAUCAAGUGAUUGGACAACCAUUAGAGAACUUAAAGGAUGCGUUUUAUCUAUAUAAAAACGCUUCAAAACUUUCUUAAUGUAUGUUGAUUGAUGUACUAAAACUCCAUUUGGAAAAUACUCGAUCUGCAAGCCAAGACAAAAUUUUGUUUUUCCAAGAUCUUUCAUCUCAAAUUCCUUUUUUUAAGUAAUUUGUUGUUCUUAUGAGCUUUUCAGGAGUUCCAACAAGAUUUAAGUCAUUAACAUACACUGCAAUAAUUGCAAAUCCGGUUUCUGAUUUCUUAAUGAAGAUGCAUGGGCAUAUAGGGUUAUUCACAUACCCUUCUUUUAGCAUGUAUUUGCUAAGGUGAUUGUACCACAUGCAUCCAGAUUGCUUUAAUCCAUACAAGGAUCGUUGUAAUUUGAUUGAGUACAUGCUACAAGGCUUUAUACUAUUUGCUCCAGGCAAUUUAAAUCCUUCAGGGAUUUUCAUGUAUAUAUCAUUAUCCAUGGAUCCGUAUAAAUAUGCUGUAAUAACAUCAAUGAGACACAUAUCCAGUCCUUCUAAGACUGCCAAACUAAUUAAGAAACAAAAUGUGAUUGCAUCCAUGACGGGAGAAUAUGUUUCCUUAUAGUCAAUACCAGGUCUCUACAAGAAACCUUGUGCUACUAAUCACGUUUUAUAUCUUAUGAUCUCAUUAUUCUCAUUGCGUUUCCGUAUAAAUACCCAUUUGUACCCAACAGACUUUACAUCUUCAGGUGUUUAGACUACAGGUCCAAAAACUUCUCAUUUUGUUAAUGAGUUUAACUCUGUCUGUAUAGCUUCUUUCCAUUUUGGCCAAUCAUUUCUAUGUCAAAAUUCUUCCACAUUUCAUGGUUCGGGAUCUUCAUGAUUUCUUAUGACUUCAGAGGCCACUUGGAAAGCAAAAAUAUUGUUAAUAACAAUAUUAUUUCGAUCCCAUUUUUCUCCCGUGUGUACAUAACUUACUGAGAUCUCACAAUUUUCAGGUACCUAUGCCUCUUCAAGGACUUUUUGUUCAAUAUGUGCCUCUUUGGGGGCUUCUUGUUCAAUAUGUGCCUUUUCAGGGGCUUUCUGCAUUAUUUGUGCCUCUUCUAGGGCUAUAGAUUUAUCAAAUUUAAACUGAUCAGUCAUUUUGAUGGCCUCUUCUAGAGUGCCAAGUUUUCUUGGGUUCUCCUCUUUCGGGGAGUUACAUCCUUUGAGCCGACAUGUCUACCACGCUUCAGGCGUAUCUUAGAUUCAUUUGUUAACUAUCCUAUAGGGACAUCAAUUCGUGUUGGAGUAUUUGUACCUGGGAUAUGUGACUUUGUCACUUUCUUUGUAUCAAUGAAUUCAUCUGGUAAUUGAUUUGCAAGAUUUUGUAAAUGAAUGAUCCUUUGAACUUCUAGUUCACAUUGAUUUGUACGAGGAUCAAGAUGGGUCAUAGUAGAUGCCUUCCAACUAAUUUCUCAUUGUUCUUCAGGAAUCGACUUUUCUCCCCCUAAUGACGGGAAAAUACUCUCAUUAAAAUGACAAUCCGCGAAGCGGGCUGUAAAAACAUCGUCUGUCAAAGGUUCAAGAUAUCUUAUGAUAGAUGGAGAAUCAAAACCUACAUAAAUCCCAAGUCUUCAUUGGGGACCCAUUUUAGUGCGUUGUGUAGGUGCAAUUGGUACAUAUACUACACAACCAAAGAUUCGUAAGUGAGAGAUAUUUGGUUGUUUUCUAAGCACAAGUUGUGAAGGGGAGUAUUCAUGGUAAGUUGUAGGUCGAAUACGGACUAAAGCUGCAGCGUGCAUAAUAGCAUGUCUCCAGGCGAAAGUAGGUAAUUUGGUUUUCAUUAGUAAUGGUUGAGCUAUUAAUUGGAGACGUUUGAUGAAGGAUUCUGCUAAACCAUUUUGGGUAUGAGUAUGAGCAACAGGAUGCUCAAUAUUUAUCCCUACUGACAUGCAAUAGUCAAUGAAUGUUUGAGAAGUAAAUUCGCCAGCAUUAUCAAGACGUAUUGUCUUAAUUGGAUAAUCUAGAAAUUGUGCUCGUAAUCUGAUUAUUUCUACAAGGAGUCUAGCAAAGGCAACGUUACGUGUAGAAAGGAGACAAACAUGUGACCACUUAGUAGAAACAUCUAUUAAGAUCAUAAAAUAAUGGAAUGGUCCACAUGGUGGAUGGAUAGGCCCACAUAUGUCCCCAUGUAUUCUUUCUAAAAAGACUGGUGACUCAGAUAUGACUUUAGUAAAAGAUGGUUUGAUUAUCAAUUUACCUUAUGAGCAGGCAGCACAUGAGUAUUCAUUGGGCGAAAGAAUCUUCUGGUUCUUUAGUGGAUGCCCAUGUGAGUGUUCGAUUAUUCGACGCAUCAUUGAAGACCCUAGGUGACCUAGCCUGUCAUGCCAAAGGAUAAAAACUUUUGGGUCGUUGAACUUCUGGUUCACGACAACAUAUGAUUCAAUAGGCUUUAUAGUUGUAUGAUACAACCCAGAGGAGAAAGCCGGGAGUUUUUCCAUUAUAAGCUUCUGGCCAGAUAUAAUGGAAAUAAUGUAAAGAUAUUCUACAUUAUCUUCACGCAUAGUUUCAAUAUGGUAUGGCCAUUUCUGUGGAUAUCUUUAAAACUGAGCAAAUUUCUUCUAGAUUUGCUAGCAUAUAAAGUGUCAUUUAUAUCGAAUGUAGUUCCGUUUGGUAACGUUAUGUUUGCUCUUCCAGAGCCUUCAACUAAGUUUGUAGUACCAUAUAUGGUACUUACAUUAGCUUUUAUUAAUGUCAAUCACAGUCUUUGAGACAUACAUCAUCCUCAUUCAUCUUGAGACCAAACAACACAUGGAUUUUAGAUAUAACUAAAAAAAUAAGGUAUAAUGUAAAUACCAAAGUAAAUCAGAUGUAAAUAUAAGACAUAAUAAUAUAUUAUUUCAUAUAUAAAGUAACAUCAAUCAAUGUUAAUUUUCUCAUCAUUUAUUAAAUGGUCUGUUUUUUUCAUUGGGACCUCCAAAGAAAUCAAUGUCAUAGUAGGUUAGGUCCAAUCCAUCACCAUCGAUAAAAUUCAUCUCUAUCUCUUUCCCACAAUGGUUUCAACUCCACAAUACCCCACUGGUUAUUCUAGAUGAGGAAUCUUGUGUAUCUAGAUCUCAGUUCCAACAAUCUACGAGGCUCAAUUAUAGAAGCUUUUGCAAACGGGAUGUAUAUUGAAAGAUUAAGAAACAUGGAUAGUCUUUGCAAUUUAAAAACAUUGAUCCUCUCUCAGAACGUUUUGAAUGGGGAAAUAACUGAACAGAUUGAUGUAUUAUCUGGGUGCAACAGCAGUUGGUUAGAGACGCUGGAUCUGGGCUUCAAUGAUCUGGGUGGUUUUCUUCCUAAUUCCCUAGGAAAACUCAAUAACUUGAAGUUUCUUUGGCUUUGGGAUAACUCCUUUGUAGGCUCAAUUCCGAGUUCAAUUGGAAACUUAUCGUAUUUGGAAGAACUGGAUCUCUCAGAUAAUGCAAUGAAUGGGACCAUCCCUGAAGCUCUUGGACGACUUUCCAAGUUGGUUGCGAUAGAGAUAUCUAAGAAUCCACUGACGGGAGUUGUAACAGAGGCUCAAUUUUCAAAUCUUAUGAGUUUAAUGGAGUUUUCAAACUAUAGAGUGACUCCAAGAGUUUCCCUGGUUUUUAAUAUCAGUCCUGAGUGGAUUCCUCCUUUUAAACUCAGCCUUCUCAGAAUAAGAUCAUGCCAAAUGGGUCCCAAGUUUCCCGCAUGGCUUAGAAAUCAAACUGAGCUCACUGAGGUGAGCUCAAUAAUGCUGGGAUCUCACACACCAUACCAGAGUGGUUUUGGAAGUUGGAUUUGCGUCUUGAUGAGCUCGACAUUGGUUCCAAUAACCUGGGUGGUAGGGUGCCAAACUCAAUGAAGUUUCUUCUUGGAUCCACCAUUGAUUUGAGUGAAAACAACUUUCAGGUGCCUUUGCCACUAUGGUCAUCCAAUGUGAUGAAACUGUAUUUAUAUGACAAUUUAUUUUCUGGCCCAAUUCCUCUGGAGUUUGGUGAAAGAAUGCCCAUGCUGACAGAUCUAGAUCUCUAUAAUAAUGCUCUAAAUGGCACCAUUCCCCUCUCCUUUGGGAAAUUAAAUAACUUAUUGACCCUUGUCAUCUCCAACAAUCAUUUGUCUGGAGGAAUUCCAGAGUUUUGGAAUGGUUUACCUUACCUCUAUGCCAUAGACAUGAACAACAACAAUUUAUCUGGUGAGCUGCCAAGUUCUAUGGGUUCUCUAAGAUUCCUUAGAUUCCUGAUGAUAAGCAACAAUCAUCUUUCUGGCCAACUUCCUUCAGCUUUGCAGAAUUGCACAGGCAUUCAUACUCUUGAUCUUGGAGGCAACAGAUUUUCAGGAAAUGUUCCAGCAUGGAUAGGAGAAAGAUUGCCUAACUUGCUUAUUCUACGCUUACGAUCAAAUUUGUUCCAUGGGAGUAUUCCAUCACAAUUGUGCACUCUUUCUUCUCUCCACAUACUGGAUCUUGGACAAAAUAAUUUGUCGGGAUUCAUUCCCUCUUGUGUGGGGAAUUUGAGUGGCAUGGCCUCUGAAAUCAACUCUCAACGAUAUGAGGGCGAGUUGAUGGUGUUGAGGAAAGGAAGAGAAUACUUAUACAAAAGUAUUCUUUAUCUGGUUAAUAGUAUGGACUUGUCAGACAAUAACCUAUGUGGAGAGGUGCCUGAAGGAGUAACAAAUCUUUCAAGACUUGGCACCUUGAACUUGUCCAUAAACCAUUUGACGGGAAAAAUACCAGACAAUAUUGGGAGCUUACAGGGGUUAGAAACUCUUGACCUCUCAAGGAACCAUCUUUCAGGCGUAAUCCCCCCAGGUAUGGCUUCUUUGACUUCCUUGAAUCACUUGAACCUGUCGUAUAACAACUUGUCGGGUAGAAUUCCAACAGGCAACCAGUUGCAAACCUUGGACGAUCCAUCCAUAUAUGAGAACAACCCUGCACUCUGUGGGCCUCCAACAACAGCCAAGUGCCCUGGUGAUGAUCAGCGGCCUAAAACGCGCAGUGGGGACAAUGUAGAGGAUGAGAAUGAGAACGGGGAUGGCUUUGAAAUGAAGUGGUUCUACGUGAGCAUGGGGCCAGGAUUUGCGGUGGGAUUUUGGGGAGUUUGUGUCACCUUAAUAGUCAAGAAUUCGUGGAGGCAUGCUUAUUUUAGGCUUGUGUAUGACGUGAAAGAAUGGCUGCUCAUGGUUAUCUCACUGAAUGUAGCUCGCCUGCGGAGGAAACUGAAUUUGGGUAGUAUUUGAAUAACUUUCAACAGUUUCUUGAAAGAAAUGAAGGCUUGUAUGCAAUGGUGUUUGGUUUCGUUUACGUUCUUGUAAUAUAAUAAAGUAUUGAGUCCAAGCUUUUCCAAUAAUGUCCAUCUAUGUGUUUGGUUUUCUCAUUUGACUCCGUCUUAGGGACACUGCCAAGAGACAUAAAACAAAGAAUAAAGAAAAAAUUUAGGCCUUGCUUGAUAACUGGUUUUGAAAACAGUUCUAAAAAAAUAAUUUUUAAGAACCGUUUUUGAAAACUGUUUUCUGAUAUUCUGUAAAACAAAAGUUUGUUUGAGAACUUAAAAUUGUUUUUAACCUGUUUUUAAUAUUUUAAAAAUAAUUUUUUAUGUCCAUAACUUUAUUUUUAAUCAUUAUAUAUGUUUGUAUAAUUAUUCUUUAAAACAACUCUAAAAAAAUGAUUGAAAACAUCCUAUUUUCUGUUUUUUUUAUAAUAGAAAAAAAAAUAGAAAACAGUUUUUAACUGUCAAAUAUGUUUUUCAGUUUUUUUUUUUGUUUUAAAAAAUAGAAAAUUGUUCUUGAAAAUUGUUACCAAAGGCCUUAAGUUUUGUCUUUUGAGCUUUCAUUUCCUUCAUUUUACUUGUGUUCCAAUCAUAUUUGUAACACAACUAGAGGGGAGAAGAUCACGUCUGCAUGAUAUUUUCGCCUAUAUAUGAAGAUGAAAAAGAAAUGGUCCAAUUACUAGUCAAAGAGGUUAUUAAUUAUAGUCAAAUUAAAAGUAUUUCAGGUAAUUAUUUAACAAUUGACUAGCCAGAAAAAUUUGUAUUUCAAGUAAUUAUUCGACUAGACUAUUUUGCCAUUUGAAUCAAUAGAUUCAAUAGCCAAGGUUCCAAUAUGUGAAAUCAUGCUCUGUCUGCAACUUCAUCAUCUUCCAGCGUACGCCCAAUAUUGGCAAGCUUUGGGGAAAUUGCGUUUGUUCUUAUAUGCUGCUUCAGCAACUCGCAGACAAACAUGGCCACUAGCAAUGCCUCUCUUCAACUUCUUUUUCUUGUCAUUAUGUCCUCAGGGUUUCUUUUCCAUGAAACCCUUAAACCAGGCUGCUGCCGUGGUGAUCACCAUAGGGCAGCCUCCUUUGAAACUGAGAGGGUAGUUCUUCUCAAGUUCAAACAAGGCCUUACAGAUUCUUCUCAUCGACUCUCAUCUUGGGUAGGGGAAGACUGCUGCAAAUGGAGAGGCGUCGUCUGCAACCACAGGAGUGGACAUGUCAUCAAACUCAAUCUGCGUAGUCUUGAUGAUGAUGGAACACAUGGCAAGUUGGGCGGUGAGAUCAGUCAUUCUUUGAAAUAUUUGAAUCAGUUAGACCUGAGCAUGAAUAAUUUUGAAGGGACUCGAAUCCCCAAGCUCAUUGGUUCACUGGAAAAGUUGAGAUAUCUCAAUCUCUCCGGUGCCUCCUUCAGUGGACCGAUUCCUCCACAACUUGGAAAUCUUUCCAGGUUGAUCUACCUUGACCUCAAGGAAUACUUUGAUUUCAAUACAUACCCUGAUGAGUCAAGCCAGAAUGAUCUUCAGUGGAUAUCGGGUCUUUCUUCUUUAAGACACCUUAAUUUAGGAGGAGUCAAUCUAAGUAGAGCUUCUGCUUAUUGGCUUCAUGCUGUUAGCAAGCUUCCUCUUUCCGAGUUGCAUCUACCUAGUGUUGGACUUUCUGUCCUCUCUCGUUCUCUCCCAUCUUCCAAUCUUACAUCCCUUUCAAUGCUUGUUCUCUCCAACAAUGGUUUCAACUCCACAAUACCCCACUGGCUAUUCCAGCUGAGGAAUCUUGUGUACCUUGAUCUCAGCUUUAACAAUCUUCGAGGCUCAAUUUUAGAUGCAUUUGCAAACAGGACUUGUCUUGAAAGUUUAAGAAAGAUGGGUAGCCUCUGCAAUUUGAAAACACUGAUCCUUUCUGAGAACGAUUUGAAUGGGGAAAUAACUGACAUGAUUAAUGUUUUAUCUGGGUGCAACAAGUGUAGUUUAGAGAACCUGAAUCUGGGAUUGAAUGAACUGGGUGGUUUUCUUCCUAAUUCACUAGGAAACCUGUGCAGCUUGCAGUCUCUUCUGCUUUGGGAGAACUCCUUUGUAGGCUCGAUUCCGAAUUCAAUAGGAAACUUGUCGCAUAUGAAAGAGCUAUACCUAUCUAAUAAUCAAAUGAAUGGGACAAUUCCAGAAACACUUGGACAACUUCAUGAGUUGGCUGCCUUAGAUGUCUCUGAGAAUUCAUGGGAAGGUGUUCUAACGGAAGCCCAUUUGUCAAAUCUCACAAACCUAAAGGAGUUGUCCAUCGCUAAAUUUGCAUCUCGGUCCAGACCUCAAAUUGGUCAUCCAUAUCAGUACUGAGUGGAUUCCUCCUUUCAAGCUCCAAUACCAGAAGCUGAGAUUGCCAAGUAGGUCCUAAAUUUCCAGUUUGGCUUAGAAACCAAAAUGAGCUUAACACUAUAAUACUCAGGAAUGCUCGAAUAUCAGACACCAUACCAGACUGGUUCUGGAAGUUAGACUUGGAGUUGGAUCAACUGGACCUGGGCUAUAAUCAAUUAAGUGGCACAAUUCCAAACUCAUUAAAGUUUGGUCCUCAAUCCUCAGUUUAUUUGAAUGUGAACCAUUUCAAUGGUUCUCUGCCACUUUGGUCAUCAAAUGUGAGUAGCCUAUUUUUGAGAAAUAAUUCCUUUUCUGGGCCAAUUCCUCAGGAUAUCGGGGAAAGUAUGCCCAUGCUGACAGAGUUAGAUCUCUCUCAUAACUCUCUAACUGGAACCCUUCCCGUGUCCAUUGGUAAACUAUAUGGUUUAAUGAUUCUGUAUAUCAUUUGUCUGGAGAAAUUCCUGCAUUGUGGAAUGGUGUUCCUAAUCUGGUGGUGCAUGUUGACCUGUCGAACAACUUAUUUGGUGAGCUGCCAACUUCAGUGGGUUCUCUGACCUACCUUAUAUUUUUAACGCUGGGCAACAAUCAUCUUUCUGGGGAAUUUCCUUCUGCCUUGCAGAAUUACACAAACAUCCGUACUCUUGAUCUUGGAGGCAACAGAUUUUCAGGAAAUAUUCCGGCAUGGAUUGGACAAACAAUGCCAAAUCUUUGGAUUCUACGACUAGGAUCAAAUUUGUUUAAUGGGAGCAUUCCAUUACAAACUUUGCACUCUUUCUUCUCUUCACAUAUUGUGAUCUUGCCCAAAAAAAUCUGUCAGGAUCUAUUCCCUCUUGCGUGAGGAAUUUAAGUGCUAUGGCAUCCGAAAUUGGAUCAUAUAGAUAUGAGGCUGAUUUGAUGGUGUUGACGAAAGGAAGGGAAGAUUCAUAUAGAAACAUUCUCAAUCUUGUGAAUAGCAUACACCUGUCCAACAAGCCUAUCUUGAGAUGUGCCUGGAGGGCUAACAAAUCUUUCAAGAUUAGGCACCUUGAACUUGUCUAUGAACCAUUUAACGGGAAAAAUACCAGAUAACAUUGGGAGCUUACAAUGGUUGGAAACUCUAGACCUCUCAAGAAACCAGCUUUCUGGUCCAAUUCCACCAGGUAUGGCUUCUUUGACUCUCUUGAAUCACUUGAACCUGUCCUAUAACAACCUGUCAGGUAGAAUUUCAACAGGCAACCAGCUGCAAACCCUGGAUGAUUCAUCAAUAUACAGGCACAACCCUGCACUAUGUGGGCGUCCAAUAACAGCUAAGUGUCCUGGUGAUGAUGGAACCCCCAAUCCUCCCUGUGGAGAUGAUGAAGGAGACGAUGAAGAUGGAGCUGAGGUUGAAAUCAAGUGGUUCUACAUGAGCAUGGGAACAGGAUUUGUGGUGGGGUUUUGGGGAGUUUGUGGCACCUUAGUAGUUAAGGAGUCAUGGAGCCUAUUUUAGGCUUGUCUAUGACAUCAAAGAGUGGCUGCUUCUAGUUAUUCAGCUGCAUGUUACCCAUCUGCAAAGGAAACUGAAUUUGGGAAGAAGCAUGCAUCAUACUUGAACAACCUUCUGAAAUUAAGUUCCCGAAAUAAAUGAAUGCUUCUAUGUAGUUCAGCACUUCAGCUUCAUGUACAACCUUCUGAAAUAUGAAGUUUUGAUUCCAAGUUUUUUCAAACGCUUGGUCUUUUAUUUUUCUAUCUUUUGGUCACAAGUAUAUUUACUCACAUAUCGGAGACUUGCCAAAAAUAAAUAAAUGAGCUAAUAAACAACGAAGGCGAUGUCGGAGUCCCAGCAUUGCUUUGUUUCCUAUCAUCUUUUCAACACAACUCUUGACAGGGAAGCAGAUUAUGAUGAAAAUUUAAUUAGAAGAAAAAAAAAAGGGUGCAAAUAUAGAAUCAUGGGCACAAUUCUUCAAGCUGAUCACCCACACUCCUGAGCCAUGAUUUAGCCUUUCUCUCUCUUUUUUUUUUUCUUUUUGGUGGCUGAAUUAUCGUACUAUUGCAGUCUGCAUCCCUUAAAAUUUUCAAACAAUUUGCACAGGUCAAACAAAAGGAAUCAUUUCGUCCAACACUGAAUGGGUGGAAGCUUGCUUCAUAAUGAGAAAUAGAAAUCCACGAGAUUGCCAAGCACAUUAUGACACAUUCUAUACUCCAACUACUAUGCAAAAUAAUGAAGUUUUGCACAAGUAUCCCAAGACUAGACCUUUGUAGAGCUCCUUAGAAAAUGAUUUUGAAACAUGUUAAAAGCACCACUUAACACAACCUUUUUUUCUAGUAUUUUUCCCCUUUUAUUUUCCACAUGCUUUUUUCUCCUCUUGCCCUCUAAGAUAGCUAAAUGGAAGAGGGUCAAUGUCCACUACUGACUUGGGGUCAAUGCUGAGGACAACAGCUUAAGAUAAUUAAUCUUGAAUCAUUCAAACUUGUAGUCAACUUUUACCUAACUUACCAACUGGUUUUAGGGUCUAAAAUUCCAAUAUGAACAAAGGUACCACAAAGGUUUCUUUUCAUUGUAGGAGGAGAAAACAAAGUCUAAUAAUUUAUGAUGACAUUCCAUUUCCUGUCUAGACUAUAAGUAAGUCCUAUUGACUUCCAUAGCCCUUGUACUCAAGUUAAAAUAAGCACUUAGAUACUGGACCCAUUUUAAGGGUAUUGUGGAACUUUGCUCAUCUAAAGUGAGUACCCUAUAUUUGACUAAUUCCUCGCAUGGAGGCAAAGAAUGCUCAUCCUAGCAGACUUAAAUCUCUCUUAUAAAACUCUCAAAAUGACACUAUUCCCUUGUCCAUGAGUAAAUUAAAUGCUCCAAUAACUAUCUCAAACAAUUAUUUAUAAGGAGAUCUUUACUAAAGAGUGCCUUAAAUUUUUAAUUGGUAUAUAAUCCAUGCUGUAAAGAACAUUAUGUAUAAAAUAUAUCAUUAUAAUAAUAGACUUCCUUAUAAAGUAAGAAAAAUCACUAUAAUUAUCUCUAUAAAUAUUUUAAGUCACGAGGGAAAAGAUUAUCAUGAGAUGGAGAUGAGUUUGUAAUAAUUAUACAUAGUAGAUGGAGAUAUGGGAAAAAGUUGGAGACACUCAGUGAAUCAAGGACUUGCCAUUUAAGGUAUACAUAUAAGGAAUGGGAAAACAUGGGAAGUUUCAAGGUUUAAUAAUAUUUGUUUGUUUGUUUUUUUUUUUUUUUCUAUUCUCUAAAAUAUUUUUUGUGAUAUACUGUAAUGAUUUUCUUUCAUCCAUUGAUGUAAGAAUGAUUGAUUAUUUUAUCCUUCUGUCACUAAUAUAUAUUAGUAUUAAAGUAUAAUCAGGUUAAAACCUUAUGUACUUUUAUAUGUGAAUUGUUUUAUUUUUGUGUUAUUAUACUAAUGUGUUGGGAUCAUGGAUGGAAAUAUUGGUUUUUACGAAUAUAUUAAUAAUUUUAUUUUACAAACAUAUUAAGAUAUAUUGGAAAUAUUAGUGGAUUUAUUAAUACAAAAUAUUGAUGAGACAAAUUUAAUAAAAACUAAAAAGAAGAAGAAGAAGAAAAGUUUCAAAAAAAAUUGUAGAAAAAGAAAUAAUACAUAUGUUUAAGUUAUUUUAUUGAACAAUAUAAUUGCUUUAUAUGUACAUCAGUAUUUAAAAAUUAAAAUACAUUAUAUUUAUAUUUUUGAAAUAAUUUUGUUGGAAGAUAUUACAAUCUAAUUGUUUCAACGUAAAAAAAAAUAUAUAUAUAUUUGUAAUUAAAAGUCAAUUUCUAAUAGUGAUCAAAAUUUUAAAAUUCUUCUUAUUUGACUUGAAGUCCAUUACUAUUUGCAAAAAAUUUAAAUUUUUAUCCAAAAAAAAAUCUAUAUUAAAAAUUCUAAUAAUAUUUAUAAAAUUUUUUAGAAAAAUUUAUCUUAAAUUCUUUUAAUAUAUUUAGAUUCAUUCAUUUUAAAAAUUAAAAAUUAUGAGAAAUUUAUGAGAUAAUACUGCAGCUCAAAGGCCUGCCUCUCUUGGAUGCGAAUCCUGAGCCAUGGAUGAGAAAUUUAACUGUUGGGGAGCAUGCAGAUGCCAAGCCACAAGUUGUUACCCUUGGUGAAGUGGAAAAGGUUGCCCGCCUUGUAGAUGUCCUGAGAAACACCACGCACAAUGGUUUCCCAGUUGUAGAUGAAGGGCUGGAGCCACCGGUUGGUCUGGUCAUAGGAGCAACUGAACUGCAUGGAAUUGUGCUAAGAGCACACCUUGUUAAAGUGCUGAAGAAGAAGUGGUUCCUGCCAGAGAGAAGGAGAACAGAGUGGGAAGUGACAGAGAAAUUUACCCAGCUAAAUCAUUUUCUUUUUCUUUUCUUUUUUUGUGCAUACUAAUGAUAACAAUGGCCUUCUUGUGAGAGAAACUACAGUUUUGAGGUAAAUAUGACUAACCUGAUUGUUUCCUUCACUUGCAGGUGUCUCCAGUAGUUGGGAUCUUGACCAGGCAGGAUUUGAGAACCUACAACAAGUUGACAGCCUUUCCUCAUCUAGCGAAAUCCAAGGAAAGGGAUAAGGGAAACUGAGCAGCUUUUACGGAGCAUUAUCUUAAUUUAUUUUUCAACAUUAUUGUAGAAUUUUGUUCAUUCAAAUUAUUGUUAUUUACAAGUCAUUCAGUCAGUAAUAAACAACAAGUUCCUUUUUCACAACACUAGAAAAACAGAAAUUGAUUCUUGGUAUUUCUUCUGUAGUAAAAUAUUGAAAGAAUCCUUCAUUCCUUUUGCUCUGCCACAACCUAACCUCUAGUCCCGUUGAUCGUUUUUCAGCUCCAACGCCACAUCAGUAACUAAAAUAUUCCUCACAAGGGUUUCUUCUUCCUCUUUCCUGACUUCUUUUUCUUGAGACCUACUCCUGGGCCCCUUUUGAACACAGCCAAAACCUCGCUCAAUGCUGCAAUCAUAGCCAAACAUCAUUUAUAAUAGUUAAUAAGCAAACAAAGGAAUGAAUGUAAUGUGCAUAUCAUGGCAUACAUCAGAACUAACAUGUAUUUACUUUAAGUUGCUCAAGUCAAUCAGGUAGUUAUUUUCCAUUAAGAACCAAGUAUGCCAGUACUGGAACAACAAAAAGUUAAGAGAUAAAGUUUAAAUUGCUUAAUGCAAUUUUAUGCACCUGUAUCAUGUAUGGCAUAAAUUCAAAUUUCUAGUACAUAUUCCCCUUUACCCGAAACGCAGUGAAAUAGAUUCUUUCUUCUGGAAAUUGCUAUAUGCCUAUGUAAUUAGGAUGACAAAUCAGUAAAUCAUCAAAUAAUAAAGGCAUUUAGUUAAUCCAAAAAGUUCCCUAGAGAAAAUCUCAUGGACAGUCUACAACUGAAAAUAUGUUCAAAGCCACCUUAGUUUAGGAGACAAGCUUGAUGCCCACUCAUAUGUCAGUUUACAAAUAAACAAGGCCUAGGACUCUGCCAGUAAUGAAGCUUUAACUGUAAAAUAGGUUUGGCUGAUUAUUGCUGCUGCUAACACAAUAUUUAAAAGCAACCAAGAUCAUAAGAAACAAUUCCCAAACAGAAAUUUAUUUGUGUAAAUGGCAGGUUUACAAUUUAUGAGAAAUGAUGUUUUCAUGAAGUAUCUCUCCAUCUUAAAGCAUGUUCCCAGAUUUUCUUCACCUGCGACAGUUUAUUUCCAACACCUACACCUUUCUUGUCAGACGGGCUACAUUCAGUGCCACAGCCAGAAGGAGCCUAUCUUUCAUUUUGUCAACAAAGCGAAAAUAAGCAUAUCUCCAUGACUUCUUGAUCACUAAUGUGCCACAAACUCCCCAGUGUCCUAUGAUGAAUCCCAGUCCCAUUCUAACAAAGAACCAUGGCAACUCAGAGUCAUCUCCAUCUUCAUCAUCUUUGUCUUCUCCUUUCCCAGUUGGAUUUGUUCCAUUGUUGUCAUGACACUCGUUUGUAAGAGGAAAUCCACAAAGUGCGAGGUUUCCCUGGUAAAUAGACGGAUCAAUCAAGGUUUGAAGCUGGUUUCCUGUUGGGAUUUUCCCUGACAAGUUAUUGUGUGACAGAUUCAGGUGAGCCAAAAAGGUUAUGGAAGCCAUGCUCAUUGGAAUUGGACCAGAAAGUUUGUUUCUUGAUAGGUCGAGAGUCUCCAACCACUGCAAGUUUCCAAUCUUUUCUGGUAUAGUUCCCCCCAAAUUAUUGCUGGACAAAUUCAAGGUUCCCAGUUUCAGAAGGCUUGUUAGUUCUAUAGGAAUCUCUCCUGAUAAGUUAUUACAGGACAGGUCUAGACUAUUCACAAGGUAGAGACUGUGAUAGUAUUCAAUUGCUCUUCCUUUUGAAUCAAGGUUCAAGCAUCCCUCAUACCGUGCUAUAUCAUCAUCCGAAAGUUCAGAUUUGAAGCCGCUCAAGUUCCUGAAACAGGGAGGAAUAAAUCCUGACACAUUGUUGUGUGAGAGGUCCAGAAUGUGUAGCGCAGAAAGGGCACAGAUUUCUGAAGGAAUAUUACCGCUGAAGAAGUUGGACCGCAAGGCUAAAAUCAACAGGGAUGGCAUGGUUUCUCCUACCCAGGAUGGAAUGUUUCCAGAAAAUUUGUUAUCACCAAGAUCAAGGCUUUCCAAGGCACUGCAGUUUUGCAGAUGGGAAGGAAAGUUCACCAGAGAGAUUGUUGUUGGAUAGCACCAAGAAUCUGAGUGUCGUGAGGGAACCCAGUGAUCUUGGUAUUGUACCUGAAAGGCUGUUGUUUGACAUAUCUACAAUAUACAUGGGAAGGCAUCUUGUUCCAGAACUGAGGAAUUUCUCCAGAUAAAUGAUUGUUGGAGAUGACCAAGGUCAUCAAAGCCUGUAGAUUACCCAUGGACAAGGGAAUGCUACCAUUCAGAGAGUUCCAAGAGAUAUCUAAAUCUGGGAAAUUAAGGCGCCUUAUCGAGAGUUCUUACUGGCGGGACCCUUAUCUCCUCCAUCCGAUCCCUAUCUUUUAUGCCGAUCUCAAAUCGAUUGAUAGAUAGCCUGAUCUGUUCGAUAACCUAACCCUCGUUCGAUAGAGCUAACCCCCUUGAUAUGAAAGUUUUCCAACCCACCCGAAAGGUGUCUGAGGCAGCAAGAUAGGGCUCAGCCAAAAAGCUUACUAGCGCAGGGGCGCUCACCUUUUUUGGCUCCUUCCGGCAUAAUUCUAUAAAAAAUAUUUUAAUAAAAACGGUUUUUUGUGGGCAUUGCUUCACCAAUGUUCUGAGGAAUCGGUCCAGAAAAAAAAUUGUCCCUCAGAUACAGUGUACUUACAUUAGACGACCAGAGUGGGAGAGGACCAUCAAAGAGGUUUGAACUCAAAUCAACAUUGGCUAGGUAGCUGAACACUAAUGAGUUUGGAACUCUGCCACUUAAUUGAUUAUAAGCAAUGUCUAGUUCACUGAGCUGCAAAUCUAAUUUCCAUAACCAAUCUGGUAUAGUACCUGAAAUUCCAGCAUUAUUCAGCACUACGGUGGUCAACUCAUUUUGAGUUCUGAGCCAGGUAGGAAAUUUGGGACCCAAUUGGCAAGAUCUAAGGUUGAUGUAUGUGAGUUUGAAAGGAGGAGCCCAGUCAGAGGAGAUGUUGAAAACCAAAGAAACAUUUGGAGAACUUUUAGUAAUAGACAACUGCUUUAAGCUUGAGAGGUUGGCAAAAUGAGCUUCUGUUAUGACACCUUCCCACGAGUUCUCAUUGAGCUCUUGCACGACCAGUGAUGAGAGUUGUCCAAGGCUGUCUGGGAUGAUCCCACCCAUUUGAUUCUGCGAGAGGUACAAUUCCUGUAAAGAGGAUAAGCUCCCAAUUGAUUCUGGAAUUGGACCGCGAAAUGAAUUAGACCGUAAUUGAAGAUAUCUUAAAUUCUUAAGAUGCCCCAGUGAAUCUGGUAGGUUUCCAGUCAGUUUAUUGAAUCCCAAAUCCAGAUUCUCUAAGGUACUGUAAGAGCAUGCAGAUAAGCCAUCGAGGAACUCAGUUAUCUCACCAGAAAGUUUGUUAACAGAAAGAAUCAAUGUCCGCAAAUAGCACAAAUUUCCCAGUGUUCUUGGAAACUCUCCUUCAAUGUUCGAAUUCUUGGACAAAUCAAGUAGCUGGAGAGAAGUGAAGUUUUGGAAUGCAUCUGGGAGUCCACCUUGGAGGUUGUUGGAGUUGAGAUCAAGGUACACAAGGCUACUGAGAUUAAAUAACCAGUGAGGAAUGGUGGAGUCAAACCCAUUGUUUGAGAGAUCAAGAACGGAAAGAGAGGUAAAAUUGAGAAAUGGAAGAGAAAGAGGAAGGUUGGAAAGUUGACAGUUGGGCAUGUGCAACUCCAAAAGAGACGGUAAAGUAUUAACGGUCUGGAGCCAGUAGGCUGCAGCCUUGCUGAGAUCAAUACCUCCCAAGUUAAGGUACUUCAAAGAAGAAAGGCCUGACAGCCAUUCUAGGCCAUUCUUGUUUGGUUUCGAUAGAUUAUGUGUUGAGAUCAAGGUAGCGCAAGUUUGAGAGGUUUGCAAUAUUUGGAGGGACUAUACCAUCAAAGGAUGCUCCAGAGAGAUUGAGAUAUCUCAACUUCCCAAGUGAUCCAAUGAAUUUUAGGAUUUCCAUUCCUUCAAAAUUAUUCAUGCUGAGGUCUAGAUAAUUCAGAUAUUUCAAAUUGAGCAAAGAAGGAUUGAUCUCACCGCCCAACUCGCUAACUGUUCCAUCGCCCUCCAAACUGUUUGGGAAUGGGUUGCCAAGUUUGAGCUUGAUGACGCGUCCAGUCCUGUUAUAGCAGCUAACUCCUCUCCAUUUACAACAAUCUUCUCCGACCCAAGAUGACAGCAGACCUGAAGGAUCUGUGAGGCCUUGUUUGAACUUGAGAAGUGCUUCCUUCUCUAGUUCUAGGCAAUCCAUGUUCUGAUUGGCAAUACAUGAGCUGAGUUGAAUUGUUCCUUGGGACAAAAACCCAGAGAGUAGAAGGAGGGAAAGAAAUUGAGUAAUGACAUUGCACAUGAUUAUGUUAUGAUCAAUGUGUAAGAGGGAGAGUUUCCCUUCUAUCCAACAGAAUGGUGAAUUAGUCUACUUAUAGAACAAAUUAGGUGCCUGGGGGGAAGAUUUAGUUGGCUGAUGUGGUUAGGACAUUUGACACCUACAUGGUGGUUGCUAGAAGUCAAUAUGGAAAUGCUUUGCCCUUUUUGACACAUGAUGAACAUUUUUUUAUAGGUUACGAUGUGAACAUUAGAAACUGUACGAGGAAGUGUGACAUGUUCCGAAAGGAGGAAGAACUUUCUGAUAUCCUCACCAGCUACUAACUUGAGAACUCUAUUCCCAUUUGACAUUAUCCUGACUGUUAUAUAAUAUAUUACCAAAAACACGGUUAAAAGAAAUUUUUUUAAUUUAUAUCUAAACAUCACGUGACUAUUCUCUUUAAAAACAUUUAUAAUAAUAAAACUAUCAAUUAAUAAAAACAUUAUAAGUAAAAUCGGUUUAAUUUUCAAUGUUUUUUCCUACACGCUCUUUCUCCUCUUUGUCCACAAAGAUAGCUGAAUGGAAGAGGGUCAAUGUCCACUACUGACUUGGGGUCCACUAGGAUAGCUAAAUGGAAGAGGGUCAAUGUCCACUACGGACUUGGGGUGAAUGCUAAGGACCGCAGCCUAAGAUAAUUAAUCUUUAAUUGUUCAAACUUAUGUUCAACUUUUACGUAACUUACCAACUGGUUUUAGGGUCUAAAAUUCCAAUAUGAACGAAGGUACCACAAAGGUUUCUUUUCAUUCUUGGAGGAGAAAACAAAGUCUAAUAAUUUAUCAUGACAUUCCAUGUCCUGUCUAGACUAUACCCUUGUGGACUAAAUCAUAGGAUAUGGAAAAAACUAGGUCUUGCAGCAAUUUAAGUCUUUGACUUUAAAGGCUUAAAAAAUAAUGCUCAUCCCAGCAUACUUGUAUCUCUCUGAUAAAACUGUUGAAAUGAUACUAUUCCCUUGUCCAUGAGUAAAUUAAAUGGUCCAAUUACUAUCUCAAACAAUUAUUUAUACGAAAGAGUGCCUUAAAUUUUCAAUUGAUAUAUAAUAUAUUAUCCAUAUUGUAACCAACAUUAAGGAUAAAAAAAAUAUCAUUAUAAUAAUAAAGUUCUUUAUAAAGUAAGAAAAAUCACUACAAUUAUUUUUAUAAAUAGUUUAGGUCAAGAGGGAAAAGAUUGUGAUAAGAUGGAGAUGAGUUUGUAACAACUAUAUAUGGUAGAUCGAGGUAUGGGAAAGAGUAGAAGACACUUGGUGGAUUGAGGGCUUGCAAUUCAAAGUAUAAAUAAAAGAAAUAGGAAAACAUUAGAUGUUUCAAAAUGCAAUAGUAUUUGUUUUUGUUUUUUGUUUUUGUUUUUUUCUCUAUUCUCUAAAAUAUUCUUUAUGAUAUACUCCAAUGAUUUUCUAUCAUCCAUUGAUGUAAGAAUUAUUAGUUAAAUUACAUAAAAAUAUGGCAUUCCUUUGUGUGUAGAUUAUUUUAUCAUUCUAGUUUUACACUAACAUACUAGCGUUAAAGUAGAAUCACAUUAAAACCUCAUCUAUUUUUAUAUGUGAAUUAUUUUAUUUUUGUGUUAUUAUAUUAAUAUGUUGAGAUCAAUGAUGAAAAUAUCAGUUUUUGUAGAUAUAUCAAUAACUUGAUUUUAUAAAUAUAUUGGGAUAUAUAAAAAAUAUCGGUCAUAAUAUAUUGAGAUCGGUGGAUAUUUUAAUACAAAAUAUAGGUGAGAUAAAAUUAACAAAAACUAAAAAAGAAAUAUAUAGGAAAAAUUUUGAAAAAAAAUUAUAGAAAAAUAAAUAAUACACGUGUUCAGAUUGUUAUAUUUAACAAUUUGAUAUAUGCAUAUCAAUAUUUAAAAAUUAAAAUGCUUUAUUUUUAUACUUUUUGAAAUAAUUUUGUUGGAAGAUAUUAACAAUAUUUUUUUAAAAUAAGAUUUUAUUACAAUCUAAUUUUUUUCAAAUGCAAUAACAAAUCUAUAUUUAUAAUAAAUUAAUCAUUGCAUUGAAUUCUAUUUCAUAGGAGUCUUGAUUAACAAUUUCUAAUGUUUAUCAAAAUUUAAAAAGUGUUUAAUACACUUACUCCCCCAACCUAUAGCGUGUUUUGCACAUUGCCCAUUUGAGUUCAAAAUCGAGUAAUGUACCUCCCAACCUUUAUAAUUGCAUGCAAUAUACAUUUUUUGAGAGACGGUAUUAAUUUUUUUAACAGAAGGACAUGUGCUCUCCACGUGAUCGAGGGCAAAAUGAUCAAUUUUUUGGAUUUAUUAUACUUUACCCCCAACAUAUAAUGUGUUUUACACAUUGCCUCAUUGAGUUUCAAAAUCGAGGAAUGUGCAUUCCAUAUUUUAUAAUUGUAUGUGAUGUGCAUUUUUUGAGACACGACGUUAUUUUUUUUAUUUUUUAUAAAGAGGUGUGUGUUCUCCACGUGACCAAGCACAAAAUAGUCAAUUGCAAUCCUUAUAUUAUAAUUUUUGAGAGACCACAUUAUUUUUUUUUUAUUUUAUAAAAAUAAAAAGGCAUGUGCUCUCCACAUGACUAAGCGCAAAAUGGUCAAUUUCAAUCCUUAUAUUAUAAUUUGUUUAAAAUUACUCAUUUACCCCCCCUCUGUGUGUUACUCUACUAGACAAUAAUUUUACACUCCUAAUCCAAACUACUCAAAGAUCUCAUUUUCUUAAAAUAAACUUCAAAAUCCGUAUUUACUACUCUAACAUCAGUAUAGUCACUGCUCCUUUUUGUCCUAUUCCUUCACCUUCAUGCUACAUCUUCAUAAGAAAGGGUCUUAGCCUCUCACGGUUUUUUAUUCCACUCACAAAUUUCAUAAGAGAAUAGGAAAUCUAUGCAUUAUUGAAAAGAAAAGAGCAAAAAGUUGAUGUAUGCAUGUGUAACAGAGAGUAUCAAUUCGAGAGAUGGCCUCUGAUGGCCAAGAGAAGAUGAUAUCAGGCAGUUGGAGAUUGAAAGUGAUUCAAAGAGUUUCAUACUAGUGAAAAUAAAGGGUCCUAAAUAAAUAAUCUUGGCCUAGUGGCAUGCAAAAUAUUUAUGAAAUUAAUUAUUCUUUCAACAAGAUGAUACAUAAGCAUUUUGCUAGACAGGCACAUUUCCCUCUGAUUCAAAAGCACAUUUUGGCUAUAAGUGUAAGAAUUUUGUUAAAUGGGAAUAUGAAGUAAAAUAAGUCAAUCGGUUAGAAUAACAAAUGAAGAUAUGAAAAGGAUGUUUUACCUUGACGUAUUUACUUUUAUUUGAAUUAUUAAACUAGUGUCUUUUUUCUAAACCAAAAAAGGGGCAAGACUUUAGCAAAUGUUCCUAAACCAAGUCCGUGAUGCCUAAAGUCUAAAAUUUUCUUCCUAUAGAAUUAAUGACAUUUUCACAUGCACAUUCUAGUAAAGUUUUAAUGUCCACAUAUGGACCUAUUAAAGCAAAUGUUCAUACUUUAGCGUGUCAAAGAGGGCACGCUACAAAACAAAGAAGACAAGACAUUUUCAUUAAGGACAGGAAGGCUACUCCAUUCAAUUUUACCAUUGUGGCUGCCAACAACCCCUACUUGGAGUCGGGCUGUCGUAGUUUGUCAUUUGACUAGAUCAUAAGUCAUAAAGUGUAUAGAAGCUAACAUUAUCACUGAUUAAGAGAUAAAAUUCUUAGGAGAAAAUGAAAUUUACUAAUUCUUUUAGGGGUACUAUGCCUAAGCACAACUCAUAUCUGAAUGGUGUAAGAUCCACUUCCUUUAGCUUCAUCAAUUUCUGUUUACUUUUUUAUACCAGACCAGCACAUGUAUUUCAUAUUAUCUACGUACAACAUUAUGUAAUUUUAAUAUCUAGAUUUAUAUGAUUUUAAGGUUGGGAACUUAAUAAUGUUAUUACUAUUGUUGCAGAUAGUUUUUGGGAAUAGGUGGAGACAUCUUUUAGGAGAAAUAGACUUUUGGGAUCGGAGCAUGUUGGAGGAAUUGAUGUUGCAUUGGCUCCAUCCAGUUUUGGCCAAGCAAAUACACAGGCAGACAAAAUUUCUAAUCUAGAAAAACCUUCCUAAUUGAUUGCUUAGAAAUGUCUUUAUUCUAUCUUAUUUAUCAAUCAUCAUUAAAUCAUAAGUCAUUUCAGCAUCUGAGGGACCUCAAAUCCUUGAGAAUGUACAAUUCCCUUUUUGAUACAAUUAAUUGCUGGAAUUGUUGAGGCUGGAGACUCUGGCUUUAUUUGCCUCUUGUUUGGACACCCAAGUUCCGUGUUCCUUUUUGUGUUCCUGCAUCACACAGGACACAUCGGCAGCUCACUAACAUAAGAUGCCUGACUCUAUCUUAUGUUUAUUGAGAGAAAUCCUACUUAUAUGUUGCACAAAAGUAUGUCCCAUAUGGGGCAGCAGUUACUGAUUUGUAUGCUGGAGCUGGUGUAAUUAGAUUAUCAUUAGCUGCCACUAGAAAACGCAGGCAAGAACUCGGAUGGUUCAAGUUCUCUGGAAGUCUCAUUCUUAUGUCCAACUAGAAGAUAUAUUAAUUCCAAGUUAAUUAGUCUUGUUUUUCAGGUCUAUUAAAUGCAUUGAGAUCAACAAAGAGGCAAAGCUAUCUUUUGAGAAGACAGUUGGCUGCUUACCAAUGUCUAUAGAUAGUACCAUCAGCUGGAAUCAUGCAGACACGCCAAUUGUUAGUGUUCAACACCUCAAACUUUUUAUACUCAGACAUACACAUACAAACAAAAACACAAAUAACCCUUUGAAUUUUCCUCUGAAGCUCAUACCAGUGACUAAAGUCAGAUAAGCUGCUAAUAUUAUUGAAAAUUAAAUAUCGGGGACCUCUUUCUUGGCUAGUGGGAUCAGAUGUAGUUGUUGUUGACCCUCCUAGAAAUGGGCUGGAUCUAUAUCUGGUUGAUGCGCUACAGACUAUAUCAUUUGCUGAGAAAAGAACUAGGUCAACUGAAAGGUGUGGGUGUGCUUCUGUAAUUUCCAUGUGACUGAAAUGUAUGAAACAACAACUCUAAAGUUUUAAGAUUUAAGUAAUUCGUUCUUUGUGCCUCUAUUUCAGGUCUUUUUCAAAGGUCAAGAACGAAAAGAGACCAUGGAUUUUACGUGCAAAGGAAGCCUCGGUUCAGAUUGAAAAGCAAAACAUCUCCGGAAGAGGGUCAAUCACUGCCUAAAACUCUUAUUUAUAUUAGUUGUGGAUGGGAAAGCUUCAAAGAGGUACUUCUGGAUCUUAAGUUUCUAUAUUGUCUACUUAGAAUUGCCAUGCACCCAGAGGUAAUACAUUCUUAAUUUUUUCUGUUCCUUUUAGAAGACAUAUAAUCCAUCUUGAAUGAACACUGGCAUCAUUCUGUAGUUGUUUAGAACAUCUAGUACUAUGUAACUCUGCAUAUUUGAAGGCACUGAACCUAUGGCAUAGUUUCUGAUGAAGAAUUGUUUGCUUUUCUUUAUUCUUCAAUAGAAGAGUAUCUUGUAAUUCAGUUAAGGAACCAAUUAUAUGUUUCACACUUGGUCGGGAAGGAAGAAAGAUUAAGUUCAACCAACACAAAUGAUCACCUAUGGUGCUUCUGUUGCGCCUUAUGGGCAUAAUCUCCAGAUCAUGUGAGUCCAACUGUAAACUGACAUAUUAGUGGGCAUCAAGUUUGUCUCCUAAACUAAGGGAGCUUUGAACAUGUUUUCAGUUGUAGACUGUCCAUGAAAUUUUCUCUGGGGAACUUCUUGGAUUAGCUAAAUGCCUUAAUUAUUUGAUGAUUUCCUGGUUUGUUAUCCUAACACAGGCAAAUAGCAAUUUCCAGAAGAAAGAAUCUAUUUCACUGCGUUUAGGGUAAAGGGGAAUAUGUACUAGAAAUUUGAAUCUAUGCCAUAGGCGUGCAUAAAAUUGCAUUAAACAAUUUAAACUUUAUCAGGCAUACUUGGUUCUUAAUGGAAAAUAAUUAACUACCUGAUUGACUUGAGCAACUUAAAGUGAAUACGACAUGUUAGUUCUGAUGUAUGCCAUGAUAUGCACAUUACUUUAUUAGAAUUUUUAAUAUAGACUUUUUUUGGAUAAAAUUUAUAUUUUUUGAAAGUAGUAAUCCAAAUUAAAGUCAAAUUAGAAAAUUUUUUAAAUGGGUUUAAUACACUUUACCCCCCAACCUAUAGCGUGUUUUUCACAUUGACCCCUUGAGUUCAAAAUCGAGUAAUGAAUCCCCAACCUUUAUAAUUGCAUGCAAUGUACAUUUUUUGAGAGACGAUGUUAAUUUUUUUUUAAUAGAAAGGCAUAUGUUCUCCACGUGAUCGAGGGCAAAAUGGUCAAUUUUUUGGGUUUAUUACACUUUACCCCUAACAUAUAAUGUGUUUUGCACAUUGCCCCAUUGAGUUUCAAAAUCGAGCAAUAUACCAUUCAUCAUUUAUAAUUGAAUGCAAUAUGCAUUUUUUGAGAGACGACGUUAUUUUUUAUUUUAUAGAAUGACAUGUGCUCUCCACAUGAUCGAGGGCAAAAUGGUCAAUUUAUAAAACCCUAACUAGUCUGCCCUCAUCUUCCUUCAUUCUUCUUCUUUUCUCUUCACUCUUUUUCUUUCCUCCUCCAAUCAAUGACUGCAUCUCUUGAAAUUUCAGCCUUGAAACCUAACUAUGGUAAGUAUUCAGAUAUGGGCUUUGAGGAAGGAUGUGAUGAAAACAACAAAAACCCCAAAUUUCAAACCCAGAUUCCAUUUUAUUCAAACCAAUAACUCCUACAAUUCAACAUAAUCAGGUUUAUGGCUAUAAGGAGUUGAAAAUCCAACUUCAAUGUCAAAGCUCCAAACCCUUUAAAAGAUAGAAUUAAAAGAGGGAAAUAAACACUUCAAUUCGGUAUGAUUACCAAUCACAACAAAAGAUCCAAAAAAACCAAGCUUUUUGAAAAGACCAAAAUCAAGAAUUUGGAAGACUCACAUCACACAAUUCUGCAAUUUUUUUGACAAAAAUCUUAGCGAAACCAAAACUUUUCCUUGGUGGGUAUCUUUUUAUAGGUGAAAAAUAGAUGUCUAAAUGCUUAUCUAGCAUAAACAACAGUGGAAAUAGGAAGAAGAGAGAAAAAUGGAGAGAAGAAGAAGAAGAACGAAGGAAGAGAAGACUGGUUAGGGUUUUAAUCAAAAGGACACAUGAUCAUGAAAUCUAUGGCGCCGCAGUAAUUCCUUAAGUGGAAUUUGACAUAUAUAUAUAUAUGCUCUUUUUAAGGUAAAGUAUGUCAUUUGAUCACAGAAUAAGUAGGAUUUGUAACUCAAGGUUGAAGAGAUAAUCUUGAUAGGUGAUAACACUACUUUAUUAGAUUACGAAUACUAGUUCAUGAGAAGUCUGCAUGCAAUGAAUAGUAGGUCAUAGAUCCUAAACUUUGUCUCGUUGUUAUUUACAUAGGGUACUAGAGUACAAUUGAUUCUCUUUAGUGGAAUAUUGAAUCAACUUUAGAAUUGAAUUCUAAGGGAGUCGGUACUCUUAUGGGUCCCAAUGGUCUCUGCUUUGAACUCAUAUACCAUGAUGACACAAUUUAUGAGAGUUGAAUUGUCUCUAAGUUCACUUUUGUGCAUAUGGGCGUUUUGGUAAUUAUGUAAGGUUGCACAAAGGAUAAUGAACAAGGUCUUUGAAUUGGACUAAUUGGUUAAUUAGAUGACCUUGUGUGGUUAAUUAAUCAAUUAGGUUUGGACUAGAUUAAGUAACCCAAGUCUUGGUAGACUUAAGUCACUUAAACCCAGUAGGAGAACCUUAUAAAUACCCUCUUAGAGAAUAAGGUUUCACUUUUUUGGUGAGAGUCGUUUUCCACCUCUAGAGAUAGAGAAAGAAACAAAAAGAGAGAGUCAUAGCUUUCUUCCUUCCAAAGCCCACACUUUGAAGUAUCAAGAUCGUGGUUUGAAUCAUUAGGUAAAAGAUCUUGGGUGUACGAGGCCUUCAGGCAUUUUCACUACUAGAAAUUAAUAAGAAACAUCCAGAUCUAGAUAUAAGUACUACAUCUCAAAAUCUUUAUUCUAAUAUGGUUUUUAUAGCUAUAUGUUUUUAUUGCAAUAGAUUUAGAGAAGCCUAGGAUAGUUUACAUGCACCCUACGAGAUCCAAGGUAUGAGAAUGAAGCAAUCUAGGGUUGCCAACACAUGUUUUAUCACAUCAUAUGACUAGGUGAUCAUCAAGACUCAAUUGGUGCCCUUACACUCAUGUUAAGGAUGUUGAAGAGAUUUGCUUGACCUUCUAGUAAGCACAUUUGUCUCUAGACAUGCUAUAAAUGAAGCUUUUCCCACCCACUUUGAAGGAUCAAGUGAAAUAUCAAAAAAUUCAAAAAGUAAAAAAAUAGGAUGUAACAUGUAAUGAUCAAAAUAUUGGUUUUUACAGAAAUAUCAGUUGUUAGAUGUUAUAGUUAUAUCAAUAUAUAUCGAAAAAUUUUGAUGAAAAUUUUGACAAAAAAUAUUGAAAAAGAAACUAAAAAAAUGAAAGAAACAAUAUAUAUAUACACACACAUAUGAAUAUAUCUAAUUUGGAUGUAUUCAAUGAUAAAAAAAAAAAAAAAAAAACAAUGAUGAUAUAUGUAUGAUCUUUGAAAUUUUAUUUGUAAAUUUAUAUUUCUCAUAGAUUUAAUUAAUAUAUAAAAAAUGUAAAAAAAAAAAAUCUUUAACAAAAUUUUGAUAAUGAUUUUUAUAUUUUUAACUAUUGGUUAAAUAGAGUUUAAAGAUAACAUCAUUAACAUUAAUUUAUUUAUUAAAAUUUUAUUUUAAUAUUAAUCAUGCAUUAUCUCAAAAAGCUAAAAAUUAAUUGUGCCUCAUGAACAACACAUAUAACUGAGAGAAGACGUACAAUAGAAGGGAUCCAUUGGUCACUAUUUUCGCUAAUAUCUAUCGAAGGAAAUUUUCUUCUCUUUACAAUCCAAAAUAAUGUUCACUUCUAUGUCAUAACAAUAAAGGAAAAAAAAAAAAAAAACCUAUUGAAAGACAAACGAAUUGUUGUAUUUAUUGGUUUUCAAUAUCGAAUUUUAUUUGCCCUUGACCAACCUAGCACAAUUUCACGAGUUCAGUCUGAUUUUAGAUUAUGGUAUCUUAGAAAGUUUUCGUAAUUUCAUAUCUAAGAACUACUCAAUCCCACUCUGCUCCACUUAUUUUAUUUUCCCUCUUAUCUUAUUCAUUUUAGAAUUUUUUUUAACCUUAGUAUUAUUGCUUUGUUUUGUACAUAUUUGUUUUAAGUUUUUCUUUGGGCUACCCAAAAAUUUAUAAAUGAUCAAGCUACAUUCAUUUUUAAAAAAUAGGAUUUCUAGAGGUAGGCUUUGGAGGUACAUUCUAUUUAUUCACACAGGGCUAUGUAUAACUCGAUACAUCGAAAUAUUUUGUUAUAUUCUUAUUUCUUCUUGUAAGAAUGAGUUUGGUGAUUUCAAUCCUUGUAUUUGGAUGCAUUUGGAAAUGUAAUGGUAGAAUGAUUAUUUGUUUAUGUUUCAGUUUUAGGCAACAAUGAUAAUAAAAUUGGAAAGGAAAUAUAUUGACAAUAAUAUGAAUACAAAUACAACCUCUAUAAAAUAAUAUGCUUAGGAUCAAGAGAAAUUAUUAUCUUAACGGGAUUAUUAAUUUAUCAAUAAAUGAAUAAUUAAUUAAUUUAUCUUUAGAUACAGUAUAAUGUUUCUAUUUUAUAGUACUUAUAAAUCCAAAAACAAUAGAUAUAAUCAAAAGUUAAUAUAUAAAAGUCUAAAAUACUUUAAAAAAAGAAGAGAUAAUUAAUAAUUAUAGAAGAUAAAAAGUGUCUUAAAAGAGAUAGACAUAGUAUUAAAAUUUAAUGCCCAAAAAGAUAAAAAAGUUUCAAGUAUGCAAUGAUUCCAAAAAAGAGUUGAAUUGAGAAAAAUAAAAGUUGUAAAAUGUUUCUCAAUAUUGUAUUAUAAUUUUUAUUUGUUAUUUUUUAAUGUACUUCAUCCAUUAUUAAUUCAUAUUUCCUUGGACCUUUAUGAAUUUUUUUUUAAAAUUAUUAUUUUAUGCAAUUAACGAUGUUAUUAAUUUAGUACAUUAGCCUGAUUGGGGACCAAAAUAUUUUAUAAUUUAAACGAGGUUCUACAUAGUUUAAAAUAAUUCUUUAUUUUCAUUUAAAAAACAUAUUUGGGAGUUUUUUUAAAGUAAAUGAUAAAAUUUUGUAUCACUGUGUGAUUUAAAAAUAAUGUUCUAUUUUAAAAACAUAAAAUUAGUUUUAUUUAUUUUUAACAAAAUAAAUCAAUUAUGCUCUUAUGGGGAUUUUAAUAUCCAUUUUUUUUAUAAUAUUUAUAAAAACAUAAUUUAUGAUUUUAUUAUAAUAUUACUAUUCAUAUUCUAUUAAAAGUUAUUUUUUAAUCUAUUUGUAAUCAUUAUUUUUUAUUUUUAAUAAAACUUGAAUUAAGUUUAGUUUAUAUUAUAUAAAUUCCUUUUACAAUUUUAUUUUUACAAAAUCAGAAUAAAAAAAAUAUUUUUAAAAAUAAAUGAAUUGAAAUCUUACUUGUAAGUGAAAAUUCAUUUUCACUAUAAUCAAAUUUUAUUUCAUUUCCAUCGUCACUCUUGAAUUAUUCAAAUAUGAGAGAAGCCGCCGGUAGGCUGCAGCCUUGCUGAGGUCAAUACCCAUACCUCCCAAGUCAAGGUACUUCAAAGAAAAAAAAGGCCUAACAGCCAUUCCAGGCCAUUCUCUUUGGUCCAAAAGAGUACGUUGAUCAAGGUUGCACAAGUUUGAAAGGCUUGCGGUAUUUGGAGGGAUCGUACCACCAAAGAUGCUUCAGAGAGAUUGAGACAUCUCAACUACCUUAGUGAUCCAAUGAAUCUUGGAAUUCCCAUUCCUCCAAAAUUAUUCAUGCUGAGGUCUAGAUGAUUCAGAUAUUUCAAAUGAGGAAUUGUUGUUGGCGUUUUGGCAUUGUGAUCAGCAUUGAGGCUAAGACGGUCCGGAACCAUUUCCUAGAGCAUAUAUAGAACUGAAAUCCCUGCGGCUGUCCUGACUGGAAAGUUCAGGUAUGUAGGGAUUAUGUCAUAUAAUUUUCUCCUCUUCUACAAGAUACGUGGGACCAAUCGACAGGUCAUGUCCUUACAUUAAAAGCAAAUUAGACUUUGUGGGUUAAGCUUCUAGUGUACCAAACACGGGUAGACCCCCCAUUCGCUGAACCUCAAGUCUUCGACCCAUACUCGUUAAAAAUCUGAUUUUUCUACGCGGAGGUUGAACGACCAAUAGUUGAGGUCUCAGAUUGGUAGCUUUCCGUCAGUCUAGACCUGGCCUUCAGCACCACCUAUGACCCUACAUCCAAGUUGGUUUCCACAUUGGAUCCUUUUUUGUAGGGGUGGUAAUUCUUGGUAUUGGGUCAUGUCAAAAUUUAGAUAUUUUAUUUUCAACUCAAAUUCAAUGUAAAUAAUAAUUGUGUGAAAAAUAUAAGCUUAAAUCCUAUUUAAUUAUUAAAUACAUAAUAUGUCAUAUAACUCAUUUAACCCAUUUAAUAAUCAAAUCCUCCUUUUUAAUAAUGAGAGUGAGUUGGAACUUUUAUAUUUCUAUAUAAUUAAUGUUUCAAUCAAAUAUGUUUAUAAAUCAAUUGACUUAUUUUUUUAAAAAUAAAUUUAAAAUGAGUUAAUUUGUUUGAAAGUAUAAUUAAGAUAAUAAUAGGAUUAUUAAAAGGGUCAAUUCCGGUCAAUUUGUGUUAUGUAAGUUGAUCCAAAAAUUAAUUAUUUAUUAAACAAGUUAUCUAGGUCAACACAAAUUUAACCCAAACCUACUUAUGCUCAACUCAAAUAUGUAAAAAGUGUGUUGAGUUCGUGUCAUGUUGACGAAUUAUAUUAAACUUUAUUACCCCUACUUAUUUGGAUGUUGAAAAGCGUUACCCUAGUCAUGAAGGAGAUGCUCGUUUCGACAACAUUUCAAGCUUACUUAGAAGAUAAGGUUGCUUGUUGAAGUGUAAUAUUCAAAUCUAUAUGCUGUGCAUUUUAUUUUGACAAGGAAUUCUCUUAUUUAAUUAGUGGUUUAUUGAUAGUACAAAUAUUUAAAUUUGAUAUUAAGUAUUGAGGCUGUUAGAAGUGAUUUGGAGAGGUUAAUCAUGAAGCGAUUUCCUUCCAAACAUAUGUCAAUAGAAAAAUUAAAAUAUAUCAAAAUAUUUGAAGUGAUUCUUCAAUUAGAUAUAAAUAAAUUCUUUAUUCAAAAAUCAAUUUUUAUUAUAUAACAAACUAUUAAAAAUAAAUUUACAUAAAAAUAUUAAUUAAUUCUUUGUAAAAUUGCGAAACGAAAGUAUUAUAAAUGCCUAAUGAAAGUCGUAUUAUAAAUUAAAAAUUCUUUUAUAAGGUUCUUUGGAAGAUAAUAUCUUAAUACAUGACAUAAAAUUUGAAGACCCAAAUGUAGUCAUAAUGGCUAAUGCUUAGAAAAUGUCCUCUUCCUUUUUUAUUUAUCAUAGCGUGCUUUUUGAGAUAUGUUAAUAUUAAUAUUUUAAGUGAAGACUAAAUGUCAAAUAAUAUUUAUAUCCAUAUGAAGAAUUUUACUUUCUGAAUAAUUAAUUGAAUUUUAUUUCAUCAUGAGUAAUGAUAGAGAGAGGGAUUUUUUGCCGAGGGGAUGAAUGGUAUUUAUAUCUAAACCUCCACACAUGAUCUCAACUGGCUUACAAAAAGCAUUUUAUCAUUAUUUUGUGGAGUCCAUACAUAGAACUUCUGGCUGCAAUAUCAUCGUACAUGGCUGAUAUCAAUGCCUCCAUUCAUUUCCUUCUGCUUAUUUUCCUCUCCUCCACUUUUCUCCAUCUUGAAACUGUUAAACUUGGUUCCUGCAAUGUCGUUCUCAAUGCCAGCUGCACUGAAAUUGAGAGAAAAGCCCUUGUUAAUUUCAAACAAGGUCUUACUGAUCCUUCCGGCAGGCUCUCUUCCUGGGUUGGCCUGGAUUGCUGCAGAUGGAGUGGUGUGGUGUGCAACUCAAGGCCACCUCGAGUCAUCAAGCUCAAACUCCGCAACCAGUAUGCUAGAAGUCCGGACCCCGACAAUGAAGCUACGGAUGACUAUGGAGCAGCUCAUGCAUUUGGCGGCGAGAUAAGUCAUUCUUUACUUGAUUUGAAAGAUUUGAGGUACUUGGACUUGAGCAUGAACAAUUUUGGAGGACUCGAAAUCCCCAAGUUCAUUGGAUCAUUCAAGAGGUUGAGAUAUCUCAAUCUCUCAGGUGCAUCCUUCGGUGGAACUAUCCCACCCCACCUAGGGAACCUUUCUAGCUUGCUCUAUCUUGAUCUCAACUCUUAUUCUCUUGAAUCAGUUGAGAAUGACCUGCACUGGUUAUCAGGUCUUUCUUCUCUGAGACACCUUAAUUUGGGAAAUAUAGAUUUUAGCAAGGCUGCAGCUUAUUGGCAUCGAGCUGUUAACUCCCUUUCUUCACUCUUGGAACUACGCUUACCUGGAUGUGGCCUGUCUUCCCUUCCUGGUCUCUCUCUUCCAUUUGGUAAUGUCACCUCACUUUCGGUGCUCGAUCUCUCCAACAAUGGCUUCAAUUCGUCGAUACCUCACUGGUUGUUCAACUUUAGUAGUCUUGCAUACCUUGAUCUCAACUCCAACAGUCUUCAAGGCAGUGUUCCUGACAGAUUUGGUUUCUUGAUUUCCCUUGAAUACAUUGAUUUGUCUUUUAAUAUAUUGAUUGGAGGUCACUUACCAAGAAACUUAGGAAAGCUUUGCAACUUGCGAACUCUCAAACUAUCUUUCAACAUUAUUAGUGGAGAGAUAACUGAAUUGAUAGAUGGGUUGUCCGAGUGUGUCAACAGUAGUAGCUUAGAGUCUCUGGAUUUUGGGUUCAAUUAUAAACUGGAUGGGUUUCUUCCUAAUUCUUUGGGACACCUGAAGAACCUAAAGUCUCUUCAUCUGUGGGGCAACUCAUUUGUGGGGUCAAUUCCAAACACCAUUGGAAAUUUGUCGUCCUUGCAAGAAUUCUACAUCUCUGAAAAUCAAAUGAAUGGGAUAAUUCCAGAGAGUGUGGGCCAACUCUCAGCAUUGGUUGCAGCGGAUCUGUCAGAGAAUCCAUGGGUUUGUGUUGUGACAGAGUCUCAUUUCUCCAAUCUCACAAGCUUAAUUGAGUUGUCAAUCAAGAAGUCAUCUCCAAACAUCACCUUGGUCUUCAAUGUGAAUUCUAAAUGGAUUCCUCCUUUUAAACUCAGUUACCUGGAACUCCAAGCAUGCCAUCUAGGUCCCAAAUUUCCUGCAUGGCUGAGAACCCAAAACCAGCUGAAGACAAUAGUGCUCAACAAUGCUAGGAUUUCAGACUCCAUACCUGAUUGGUUUUGGAAGUUAGACUUGCAGCUCCACCUACUGGACUUUUCAAAUAAUCAACUGAGCGGGAAGGUCCCAAAUUCAUGGAAAUUUACAGAAAAUGCUGUUGUGGAUUUGAGCUCCAACCGCUUUCACGGUCCUUUCCCACACUUUUCUUCUAAUCUGAGUUCAUUGUAUUUGAGUGACAAUUCAUUUUCUGGACCAAUACCCCGGGAUUUUGGCAAAACCAUGCCCCGGUUGUCAAAUUUUGACGUCUCUUGGAACUCUCUAAAUGGUACCAUUCCCUUGUCUAUGGCUAAGAUUACGGGUUUGACAAAUCUGGUUAUCUCAAAUAAUCAGUUGUCUGGUGAAAUUCCUUUGAUUUGGAAUGAUAAACCAGAUUUGUACGAAGUAGAUAUGGCACAUAACAGCUUAUCUGGUGAGAUCCCCAGCUCAAUGGGCACCCUGAAUUCACUUAUGUUCUUGAUACUGAGUGGCAACAAACUUUCAGGGGAAAUUCCUUUUUCUCUGCAGAAUUGCAAGGACAUGGAUAGUUUUGACCUUGGCGACAAUAGAUUAUCAGGAAACCUUCCAUCAUGGAUAGGAGAGAUGCAAUCGUUGUUGAUUCUAAGUCUGCGAUCAAACUUCUUUGAUGGAAACAUUCCCUCCCAAGUGUGCAAUCUUUCCCAUCUUCAUAUAUUGGACCUUGCACAUAAUAAUCUGUCAGGAUCCGUUCCUUCUUGUUUGGGAAAUUUGAGUGGCAUAGCUACUGAAAUCAGCGAUGAGAGAUACGAGGGGCGAUUGUUAGUUGUGGUGAAAGGAAGAGAACUCAUAUAUCAGAGUACUCUGUAUCUUGUGAAUAUCAUUGAUCUUUCAGACAAUAAUUUAUCGGGAAAGUUGCCUGAAAUAAGAAAUCUUUCAAGACUUGGCACCUUGAACUUGUCCAUAAACCAUUUUACAGGAAAUAUACCAGAGGACAUUGGGGGCUUAAGUCAAUUAGAAACUCUGGACCUCUCAAGAAACCAGCUCUCUGGCCCGAUUCCACCAAGCAUGAUUUCUCUGACUUUCUUGAAUCACUUGAACCUAUCUUACAACAGACUAUCUGGUAUAAUUCCAACAAGCAACCAGUUCCAAACCUUCAAUGACCCAUCCAUAUACAGGGAUAACCUUGCACUCUGCGGGGAUCCUCUGCCAAUGAAGUGCCCAGGCGAUGAUAAAGCUACUACUGAUUCUUCCAGGGCGGGUAAUGAAGAUCAUGAUGAUGAGUUUGAAAUGAGGUGGUUCUACGUCAGCAUGGGGCCUGGAUUUGUGGUGGGAUUUUGGGCAGUUUUUGGCCCUUUGAUAAUAAAUAGGUCUUGGAGGCGAGCCUACUUCCGGUUCCUGGAUGAGAUGAAAGAUAGAGUGAUGGUGGUUAUCACAGUGAAUGUUGCACGUCUGCAAAAGAAAUGCAAAUGGGAAAGAAGACAACAUGGAACUUGAACAGG
rnacentral:lncRNA from 1 species